GAUGAAGAACGCAGCGAAAUGCGAUAAGUAAUGUGAAUUGCAGAAUUCAGUGAAUCAUCGAAUCUUUGAACGCACAUUGCGCCCUCUGGUAUUCCGGGGGGCAUGCCUGUCCGAGCGUCAUUUCAACCCUCGAACCCCUCCGGGGGGUCGGCGUUGGGGAUCGGCCCUUUCACCGGGUGCCGGCCCCUAAAUACAGUGGCGGUCUCGCCGCAGCCUCUCAUGCGCAGUAGUUUGCACACUCGCACCGGGAGCGCGGCGCGUCCUCGUCCGUAAAACACCCCAAACUUCUGAAAUGUUGACCUCGGAUCAGGUAGGAAUACCCGCUGAACUUAAGCAUAUCAAUAAGCGGAGGA
rnacentral:misc_RNA from 1 species